rnacentral:RNase_P_RNA from 2 species
GCAGAUUCAAGGUUGCGAUGCUCGCCACAAACAGGAUGUCCACUUAUUUUAUGGCGUGGCUCAUCUCAUCUUGCGAGCGGGCCAAGGUCUGAGUAUUUUAAUCCCCCUCGACCGACUCUUGCCGGGUCUGGACACCAUCGUUCGAACCGCGUACAAGAAAUGCAAGCAGCGUCUCCCGACUUCGUGUUACCCCUAAGACUCCGUUCAUACGGAUGAGGGGCGUGGCAAGCUGCUUUUGGGAAGCGUUGUGGGGAUCGGGUGGCCGUGUACAUCUCGUCGAUACUGUAUAGUCAUCGACGAGAUCGGUCGCUCUUUAGCUCAAUUUGCGACGCGCCAAGCACGUACACAUCGGUGUUCUGGUGUUACUCAAUUCAGACUACUCUGGAUCUGC